GCGCCCUUAGCUCAGUUGGAUAGAGCAGUUGACUUUUAAUCAAUUGGUCACAGGUUCGAAUCCUGUAGGGCGUACCA
rnacentral:tRNA from 1 species